GCGAGGCGGAGGGCCGGCCGGUCCUCGUCCUGCCGGGACGGCCCGAGGCGGCGCUCGCCGCCUUCCUGGCGCUCGGCGCGCCCCUGCUCGCGC
rnacentral:tRNA from 1 species